AUAAAUAUAGCUUAAAUCAAAGCCAAGACUUGUGACGUCUUAAAUACAAAUAAUAAUUUGUUAUUUAUA
rnacentral:tRNA from 1 species